rnacentral:misc_RNA from 1 species
CGCAUAUGCUGUUAUUUACAUCCCCUGGAACUUGGAAGAAUUCACAAGCUCCAGCAAAAGUCAGAUGAAAUGGUUAAAUAUUCGAUCAAAAUUGAUUGAUCUUACAACAGGCAUCGUAUUGUCAGAUUACUGCUGUAACAUAAGACUGAUAAAUUCUGCUUUUCUUUUUUAUUUUACCCCUCUUCUCAACCAGUUGGCAUUAGAGAGGGAGAAAAUUCAUCCUUUAUAGCUACUGUUAUGUAUCAGCUGCGCUCCUCGACCAAUAAUAAAAGCCAGGCCACCAAAAUAUCACACCAAUCAACGGGAUCUUUAUCGCCUUUUUAGCAUAAUAGAAUCCUUAAAAUUUGGCUUACCAUGUAUUGGUGCGCUUCAAAUAGGCCAAUACACCAACACUAGUUAGCACAACAGCACCUGCAAAAAUCCCCAUGCGCACUGAACCCCAUCCAUCAUUCUCUACAGAGGGACUACUCAAUCCUUGCACUGCUUUUACAUCAGAAUAAUCUAGAUGCAAUCUUAAGACCUUUAGUCCUAGUGAUCUGGCGUGGCUAAUUGCACCUACAAGAUCACUAUCAGUUGUCAGCAGAACUUUAUCGCCUUCAUCAUCUUCAUACAAAAGUUGAGGACGAUUUUGUUCAUCUACUGCACCUAACCUUUGCACAACCGCAGUGACAAGCUCCAGUAAGCUCUCUGAGCCAAAAUUAAAUCUGUUGACACGACCUUUAAGGUCAACAAAUUUGAAAGCAAAUGUAUUUCCAAGACCCAAUAAUGGAUAUCCAGAUUUUCCUGCUUCUGCCCCUUCUGACAUCAUCAAUUGAGACAUAGACAUCUCACUGAGAGAAUCAUAAUCGUCAGGUGGCUCCAGGUUAAGUGCCGAAUCCCAAAACUUCUGCAUCAUAGUAUUGGCCAUUUCAUUGACAGCACCUGAGCUGUUCUCCACCAUAGAUAUAGCUGCAUGAGUUAUCUGCAAUACAUCUAUGCAGGCGACAACACAUCCAUCUCUAUCUAUAAUAGGAAGGUGUAGAAACUUCCCAUCAUGCAUUAUAUG